rnacentral:rRNA from 1 species
AGCGAACGCUGGCGGCAUGCUUAACACAUGCAAGUCGCACGGGCAGCAAUGUCAGUGGCGGGCUGGUGAGUAACGCGUAGGAACGGGUCCAGAGGUGGGGGACAACCCCGGGUAACGGGGGCUAAUACGGCAUAUGGGCUGAGGCCCAAAGCCGAGAGGCGCCUUUGGGGCGGCCUGCGUCCGAUUAGGUAGUUGGGGGGGGAAAGGCCUACCAAGCCUGCGAUCGGUAGCUGGUAUGAGAGGACGCCCCGCCACGCUGGGACUGCGACACGGCCCAGACUCCUACGGGAGGCAGCAGUGGGUAAUAUUGGACAAUGGGCGAAAGCCUGAUCCAGCAAUGCCGGGUGGGUGAAGAAGGUCUUCGGAUCGUAAAGCCCUUUCGACGGGGACGAUGAUGACGGUACCCGUAGAAGAAGCCCCGGCUAACUUCGUG